rnacentral:lncRNA from 1 species
GUGCUCGUGAUUUUCGGAUAUCAAACCAUUAAUUGAUUUGAAUCGUCAAUCUUUGAACUCUCGAUUUUUAUUCGUGGGGAGGGGAAAAAAUGAGUAAAAACCCUCAUCGAGACUUUGGAUUCGGGGGUUGGUUAUGCGAAGGGAAGGUGCUAGCACCCUAAGCAUCUACGGUAUUCCGUAGGAACCUCUUACCUAAUUUAUCUUGUGCUAAAUUGAUUUGCUUAUUUGAAAAUUAAUAUCUAAAAAUCUAAGUGAAAGAAUGGAGGGAGAAGAAGUAUGUUUUUGGUUAUUUUUAC